rnacentral:sRNA from 1 species
AGCAGCGAAACCCAGAGCCUGCAGCCGGCCAUGGCCCACCGGCCAGCUCCCCUUCCAGCAGGCUGAGCCCACGUGAGGACCCGGUCAGAAAGGAGUGAUAUGGCCUUGAACUUGUCAGCUUUCAACAACCUAAGAACUUCAGAAGAAAAGAAACAACUUGUAAGCUCAGGAUUUGGAUAAGGUCAACAUUGGAGCAGCAUCUGACUACUCUUCCUAAAGGAACUGCACAGAAAGCUUGCCUAGGAGGCUGGAUCUGCAGCCCAGUGAAUCCGGGAUCUGGUUUUGCUCCCCUGUGCUGGCAUUACAAGCAGAUGCCACCAUCCCUGGCUUCUUGAAGUGAGAGCCAGGAUCUACACGCAGGUUCUCAAGCUUUCAUCAACUGACCCGUCUUACCACUGUGUUCCCUGGGCUGGCCUAGAACUGUCUUUGUAAACCAGGCUGAUUCUGAAACCAUGGAUCUACUCACCUCUGCCUCUCGAGGAGUGCUGAUAUUAAAGUUGUGCGCCUGAUUUAUUGAUUGUUUACCGAGUUCUACCUGCAUGCAU